UCGAACGAGAACCGUAGCAAUACGGGGAAAGUGGCGAAAGGGGCAGUAAUGCAUGGGUAAUCUACCCCGGGGACGUGGAUAGCCAUCCUAACGGGUGGGUAAUACACGGCGAUUCGGCGAGGGGGCAUCCUUUUGCCGGGAAAUGAAUUUCGCCUCGGGAGGAACUCAUGUCGUAUUAGCUUGUUGGCGGGGUAACGGCCCACCAAGGCACAGAUGCGUAGCGGGUGUGAGAGCACGACCCGCGCCACUGGCACUGAGACACUGGCCAGACACCUACGGGUGGCUGCAGUCGAGGAUCUUCGGCAAUGGGCGCAAGCCUGACCGAGCGACGCCGCGUGUGCGACGAAGGCCUUCGGGUUGUAAAGCACUGUCGAGGGGGAGGAAAGCCGAAAGGUCUGACCUAUCCCUGGAGGAAGCACGGGCUAAGUUCGUGCCAGCAGCCGCGGUAAGACGAACCGUGCGAACGUUGUUCGGAAUCACUGGGCUUAAAGGGCGCGUAGGCGGGCGAUCAAGUCAGGGGUGAAAUCCUCCAGCUUAACUGGAGAACUGCCUCUGAUACUGGUCAUCUUGAGUGAGGUAGGGGCGUGCGGAACUGAUGGUGGAGCGGUGAAAUGUGUUGAUAUCAUCAGGAACUCCGGUGGCGAAAGCGGCGCGCUGGACCUUAACUGACGCUGAGGCGCGAAAGCCAGGGGAGCGAACGGGAUUAGAUACCCCGGUAGUCCUGGCCCUAAACGAUGAGAACUAGGUAGUAGCCUUGACAUGG
rnacentral:rRNA from 1 species